rnacentral:rRNA from 1 species
AUACGGAGGGGGUUAGCGUUGUUCGGAAUUACUGGGCGUAAAGCGCACGUAGGCGGACUGGAAAGUUGGGGGUGAAAUCCCGGGGCUCAACCCCGGAACUGCCUCCAAAACUUCCAAUCUAGAGAUCGAGAGAGGUGAGUGGAAUUCCAAGUGUAGAGGUGAAAUUCGUAGAUAUUUGGAGGAACACCAGUGGCGAAGGCGGCUCACUGGCUCGAUACUGACGCUGAGGUGCGAAAGCGUGGGGAGCAAACAGGAUUAGAUACCCUGUAGUCC